rnacentral:ncRNA from 1 species
AAGAAAUUAUUAGCGAUAAUUAGGAAUUGGAUUGAGGAAUAUAGUUUUAUAUGGGCAGGUACCCAAGCGGCCAAAGGGGACAGACUGUGUAAAAGCAGCGCCCCGUCGAGAGGCGGGAUGUAAAAGUGGGUGAAUUCAGGGAACCCCUUAGAGCGAAAUCCUAAGGGCAAUCCUGAGCCAAGUCCCCCUGCUUUCUUGCGAAAGCAAGAAGGGGGAAAGGUGCAGAGACUAAGCGCCCACCAUCCUAGAAGCGUAAGGAUGAUGAGAUAGUCCAAGCCUCAGGGUAACUUGAGG